rnacentral:rRNA from 1 species
AGCGAACGCUGGCGGCAGGCCUAACACAUGCAAGUCGAACGAACCUUUCGGGGUUAGUGGCGGACGGGCGAGUAACACGUGGGAACGUGCCUUUAGGUUCGGAAUAACUCAGGGAAACUUGUGCUAAUACCGAAUGUGCCCUUCGGGGGAAAGAUUAAUCGCCUUUAGAGCGGCCGCGUCUGAUUAGCUAGUUGGUUGAGGUAAUGGCUCACCAAGGCGACGAUCAGUAGCUGGUCUGAGAGGAUGAUCAGCCACAUUGGGACUGAGACACGGCCCAAACUCCUACGGGAGGCAGCAGUGGGGAAUCUUGCGCAAUGGGCGAAAGCCUGACGCAGCCAUGCCGCGUGAAUGAUGAAGGUCUUAGGAUUGUAAAAUUCUUUAACCGGGGACGAUAAUGACGGUACCCGGAGAAGAAGCCCCGGCUAACUUCGUG